rnacentral:rRNA from 1 species
UACAGAGGUCCCAAGCGUUGUUCGGAUUCACUGGGCGUAAAGGGUGCGUAGGCGGCAAGGCAAGUCAGGUGUGAAAGCCCCGAGCCUUAACUCGGGAAUUGCAUCUGAAACUGCUGUGCUUGAGUUCUGGAGGGGGUAGUGGAAUUCCCAGUGUAGCGGUGAAAUGCGUAGAUAUUGGGAGGAACACCUGCGGCGAAGGCGGCUACCUGGACAGAAACUGACGCGUGAGGCGCGAAAGCUAGGGGAGCGAACGGG